GUCGAGGAUCUUUUGCAAUGCCCGAAAGGGUGACAAUGCGACGCCGCGUGUGUGAUGAAGGCCUUCGGGUCGUAAAACACUGUCAGCCGGAAGGAAUCUCUGGGGAUCUAAUAGAUCUUCAGGGUGACAGUACCGGCAGAGGAAGCCACGGCUAACUCCGUGCCAGCAGCCGCGGUAAUACGGAGGUGGCAGGCGUUACUCGGAUUGAUUGGGUGUAAAGGGUGUGUAGGUGGUGAACUAAGUCGAAUGUGAAAUCCCUUGGCUUAACCAAGGAACUGCAUUCGAAACUGGUUUGCUUGAGUGACAGAGAGGAAAAUGGAAUUCCCGGUGUAACAGUGAAAUGUGUAGAUAUCGGGAGGAACACCAGUGGCGAAGGCGAUUUUCUGGCUGUCUACUGACACUGAAACACGAGAGCUAGGGGAGCAAACAGGAUUAGAUACCCGAGUAGUCC
rnacentral:rRNA from 1 species